rnacentral:rRNA from 1 species
GACGAACGCUGGCGGCGUGCCUAAUACAUGCAAGUAGAACGCUGAAGGAGGAGCUUGCUUCUCCGGAUGAGUUGCGAACGGGUGAGUAACGCGUAGGUAACCUGCCUGGUAGCGGGGGAUAACUAUUGGAAACGAUAGCUAAUACCGCAUAACAGUAGAUGUUGCAUGACAUUUGCUUAAAAGGUGCAAUUGCAUCACUACCAGAUGGACCUGCGUUGUAUUAGCUAGUUGGUGAGGUAACGGCUCACCAAGGCGACGAUACAUAGCCGACCUGAGAGGGUGAUCGGCCACACUGGGACUGAGACACGGCCCAGACUCCUACGGGAGGCAGCAGUAGGGAAUCUUCGGCAAUGGACGGAAGUCUGACCGAGCAACGCCGCGUGAGUGAAGAAGGUCUUCGGAUCGUAAAGCUCUGUUGUAAGAGAAGAACGAGUGUGAGAGUGGAAAGUUCACACUGUGACGGUAUCUUACCAGAAAGGGACGGCUAACUACGUG